rnacentral:rRNA from 1 species
CAUGCCGCGUGAGUGAAGAAGGCCUUCGGGUUGUAAAGCUCUUUUGUUGGGAAAGAAAGCUUUCGGCCAAUACCCGGGAGUUCUGACGGUACCCAAAGAAUAAGCACCGGCUAACUUCGUGCCAGCCCCGUCGGUGACUGAGCGGGCUGGCAAGGCGCAUA